rnacentral:lncRNA from 1 species
AUUUUGUAUAUUAUUAGUAUCUUAAUUUCCAGCUCCUACUGUGGUUUUUUUGGUUUCUUCAAAAAACUUCUAAAAUAGGAGUAUCUUUGAUCUUCUAUUGCACUUUUCUUUUUCUCCAAUAUAUUUGCUCUCUAUGGGAACCAAGAUUUAAAUAACAUUGUUGUAACUAUUGCAAUCAUUUUAACACUGUGUAUGGCGCCUUAUGUCUGUAUGUAUGGGG